GAUGAAGACGUAGCGAAAUGCGAUACGUAGUGUGAAUUGCAGAAUUCAGUGAAUCAUCGAAUCUUUGAACGCACAUUGCACCUCUCGGUAUUCCGGGAGGUAUGCCUGUUCGAGCGUCAUUUGUACCCUCAAGCUCUGCUUGGUGUUGGGUGUUUGUUCCGCCUCUGUGUGUGAACUCGCCUCAAAACAAUUGGCAGCCGGCGUACUUGUUUCGGAGCGCAGCACAUUUUGCGAUCCAGAUCAACGUACAGCGGCAUCCAAGAAGCCUUAUUUAACGCUCUUGACCUCGGAUCAGGUAGGGAUACCCGCUGAACUUAAGCAUAUCAAUAAGCGGAGGA
rnacentral:misc_RNA from 1 species